rnacentral:rRNA from 1 species
CAGCCGCCGCGGGAAUACGUAGGUGGCAAGCGUUGUCCGGAAUUAUUGGGCGUAAAGGGCUCGCAGGCGGUUUCUUAAGUCUGAUGUGAAAGCCCCCGGCUCAACCGGGGAGGGUCAUUGGAAACUGGGAAACUUGAGUGCAGAGGAGGAGAGUGGAAUUCCACGUGUAGCGGUGAAAUGCGUAGAGAUGUGGAGGAACACCAGUGGCGAAGGCGACUCUCUGGUCUGUAACUGACGCUGAGGAGCGAAAGCGUGGGGAGCGAACAGGAUUAGAUACCCGCGUAGUCCCUGUCUCUUAUAC